UCUCUCCUGGCAGUGCCAAGUUAUCAUAGGAAAAGACAUUUCUCAGCAAUGAAAUGAGUUGAAUGUCCAGAAAGCUGGUGCUCAGAGUGAACCAGAUGGAUUUGCUGCCCAUCAGGUUUUAGCCU